AAUGAACGCUGGCGGCAGGCCUAACACAUGCAAGUCGAACGGAUCCUUCGGGAUUAGUGGCGGACGGGUGAGUAACGCGUGGGAACAUACCCUUUGGUACGGAAUAGCCUCGGGAAACUGGGAGUAAUACCGUAUGUGCUCUUCGGAGGAAAGAUUUAUCGCCAAAGGAUUGGCCCGCGUUGGAUUAGGUAGUUGGUGGGGUAAUGGCCUACCAAGCCGACGAUCCAUAGCUGGUUUGAGAGGAUGAUCAGCCACACUGGGACUGAGACACGGCCCAGACUCCUACGGGAGGCAGCAGUGGGGAAUCUUAGACAAUGGGGGAAACCCGUACGAUCUAGCCAUGCCGCGUGAUCGAUGAA
rnacentral:rRNA from 1 species